rnacentral:rRNA from 1 species
GUGUCAGCCGCCGCGGUAAUACGGAGGGUGCGAGCGUUAAUCGGAAUUACUGGGCGUAAAGGGCACGCAGGCGGUUAAUUAAGUUGGAUGUGAAAUCCCCGGGCUUAACCUGGGAAUGGCAUUCAAGACUGGUUAGCUAGAGUCUUGUAGAGGGGGGUAGAAUUCCAUGUGUAGCGGUGAAAUGCGUAGAGAUGUGGAGGAAUACCGGUGGCGAAGGCGGCCCCCUGGACAGAGACUGACGCUCAUGUGCGAAAGCGUGGGGAGCAAACAGGAUUAGAUACCCUGGUAGUCCACGCUGUAAACGAUGUCGAUUUGGAGGUUGUGGUCAUGAACUGUGGCCUCCGGAGCUAACGCGUUAAAUCGACCGCCUGGGGAGUACGGCCGCAAGGUUAAAACUCAAAUAAAUUGACGG